AACGAACGCUGGCGGCAGGCCUAACACAUGCAAGUCGAGCGCACCCUUCGGGGUGAGCGGCGGACGGGUUAGUAACGCGUGGGAAUAUACCCAGUUCUACGGAAUAGCCUCGGGAAACUGAGAGUAAUACCGUAUACGCCCUUCGGGGGAAAGAUUUAUCGGAAUUGGAUUAGCCCGCGUUAGAUUAGGUAGUUGGUGGGGUAAUGGCCUACCAAGCCUACGAUCUAUAGCUGGUUUGAGAGGAUGAUCAGCAACACUGGGACUGAGACACGGCCCAGACUCCUACGGGAGGCAGCAGUGGGGAAUCUUGGACAAUGGGCGCAAGCCUGAUCCAGCCAUGCCGCGUGAGUGACGAAGGCCCUAGGGUCGUAAAGCUCUUUCAACUGUGAAGAUAAUGACGGUAGCAGUAGAAGAAACCCCGGCUAACUCCGUGCCAGCAGCCGCGGUAAUACGGAGGGGGUUAGCGUUGUUCGGAAUUACUGGGCGUAAAGCGCACGUAGGCGGACUAUUAAGUCGAGGGUGAAAUCCCGGGGCUCAACCCCGGAACUGCCUUCGAUACUGGUAGUCUUGAGUUCGAGAGAGGUGAGUGGAAUUCCGAGUGUAGAGGUGAAAUUCGUAGAUAUUCGGAGGAACACCAGUGGCGAAGGCGGCUCACUGGCUCGAUACUGACGCUGAGGUGCGAAAGUGUGGGGAGCAAACAGGAUUAGAUACCCUGGUAGUCCACACCGUAAACGAUGAAUGCCAGACGUCGGGUAGCAUGCUAUUCGGCGUCACACCUAACGGAUUAAGCAUUCCGCCUG
rnacentral:rRNA from 1 species